rnacentral:lncRNA from 1 species
AGUCUGUUCCAAGUUCUGAGUUGGGGACGGUAGCAAUUCUCCAUGACCAAAACACUCUGCAGCUGCGUCCUUUGGAGCAGGGAACACGAGCUGCUUUGUUGACCCCUCUUCACCCCAGAGGCGUGUCUUCUAGGUUCAGUCCAGGAUGCAGCCUGCCAGUCAUUGGUCAGGUCACAAAUAUGUGCAGCACACAGCAAGGUCCUCCCUGUGACCGGCCGGUGUGGCUGUGUGCUGUCUGUCACCCCAGCGCCCUGGACCUCAGUCUGCAGAGAAGCAGCUGUGACAAGCACAGAAAGGCAGGCACUGGUGCCUCCUGUCGAAGCCCCCAAUGCACCAGCAGCCCUCGUGUUAAUUUAAGAAGUUGACUGAACAAUCUGGCACAGUCGCUGGAAACUGAAGAAGGUGGGAAGAGGCUAAGCAAAACCCUUGCUUAAUUAAAAGCAUAUCUGCAAAAGGUCAGGCCUGGCAGGAGGAUGACAAAGGCAGUCAGAAUUUUAAAAUCAAGUCAUUCUCUCUUGCGAGAUUUCUUCCAGACCCUGAUGGAUUAGGGAUGCUGGGUUUUCUCUUCCAACAGAGCCUGCACAGCUGAGUCGGGGUGAGCCAAGUGUUAGUUCCUUCGCUGUUUUCAGAGAAGUAGGACUUCUUCCCCUAAGGUGACCCCACUCCAACCCCAGGGCAAGAAGGAGGUGACUCUUAGUAAGUGCCAGCCCUCGUUCCCUCUGGAAACCUGGGGUAGAUGUGGAAAGCACGUGGUGAGCUCUGUGGGGGCCAUGCGACUUUAGGAUGCUGUGCCUUGGUUCAAGUGGCUUCUUUAAGAAAUCACCAAAACUAGAUUCCUGUUGCAGCUAACGGAAUGGGGAAAGUGUGGGCUCAGCAAAGUGAAUUCUUUGUACUGACUUGAUAACCACCUUCACCUUUUUGAGGCCGGGCAUGGUGCCCCACACCUAUAAUCCCAGCACUUUGGGAGGCCGAGGUGGGUGGAUCACCUGAGGUCGGGAGUUUGAGACCAGCCUGUCCAACAUGGUGAAACCCCAUCUCUACUAAAAAAAUACAAAAAUUAGCUGGGUGUGGUGACACACAUCUGUAAUCCC